GUUUGUGUAGAUUAAUUAAAUCGUAAUGCUGUUAACGUUAAGAUGAAUAAAUGGUUCCACUAACG
rnacentral:tRNA from 1 species